UCCAUUGUUGAUUUUAGUGUCACCAUCCUCUGCAUUAGUUCCUCCAUUUUGUGUCUCAGUAGUUGACCCAUCAUCGGACUUGGUAUCUUCAUUAGAUUUUUCCUCAGGCUUCUCUUCUGGCUUCUCCUCAGGCUGCUCUUCUUGCUUGUCCUCCGGCUUCUCUUCUGGUUUCUCCUCCGGCUUCUCUUCCGGCUUCUCAUCGGGCUUCUCUUCAGGAAUCUCAUCGGGCUUCUCUUCAGGAAUCUCAUUGGGCUUCUCUUCGGGCUUCUCUUCAGGUGUACUGCUGUCUCCUUGUGUUGCAUCCUCAGGCAAAUCACCUGGGCUGUCCUCAGGUUGCUUAGGAUUGAUUUCAUUGCUCUCAGGAACUUGUUGCUUCACCUCAUUCUUGUUUUCCUGAGCAGGAGCAUCAACACUUUGUCCAGGAACCACAGAAGACGAUGUCAUCAUCCAUACC
rnacentral:lncRNA from 1 species